UUUGUCUGCCUUCAUCUUUCUGUCUUUCUUUCUUAUUUUCGUUCUGUCUUUCUCCAAUCAAAUAAGGAGGAUAAAAGAAAAAGAAGAAGACAAAGAAGAAGAAGAAGAAGAAGAAGAAGAAGACCUAAGUUCAGAAGCUUUGCGGACCCCAGUGAAAGUUGAUUCAGAAUCAGACCCGGCCUACUGCCAAGCACUGCAAUGACCGAGAUCAUGAGUAUAUGUAUACAGCUCUAUGAAUUAAUGAUGAAUGAAUGAAUGAAUAAAUGAAUGAAUGAAUGAAUGAAUGAAUGAAUGAACGCAACCAUAUAAAGAAGACAGCAAAAAAGUGGUCUGAAGAACUGAGAGAGUCUGACCAAAACAACUACAGAUUCCUGGAUGAGUUACAGUAAGCUCUGCCCAGACCAGCCCAGCCCAUAUCAUUUGGGUACCACUACAACAGCAGACUAGAAGCAGCAGACUAGCAACACAAUAGCAGACUAGCAACAGCAGACUAGCAACAGCAGACUAGCAACAGUAGACUAGCAACAGCAGACUAGAAGCACAACAGCAGACUAGCAACAGCAGACCAGCAACAGCAGACUAGGAGCACAACAGCAGACAAGCAACAGCAGACUAGAAGCACAAUAGCAGACCAGCAACAGCAUACUAGCAACAGCAGACUAGAAGCACAACAGCAGACCAGCAAUAGCAGACUAGAAGCACAACAGCAGACAAACAACAGCAGACUAGAAGCACAACAGCAGACUAGCAACAGCAGACUAGAAGCACAAUAGCAGACUAGCAACAGCAGACUAGAAGCACAACAGCAGACCAGCAACAGCAGACUAGAAGCACAACAGCAGACUAGCAACAGCAGACUAGAAGCACAACAGCAGACUAGCAGCACAACAGCCGACUAGCAACAGCAGACUAGAAGCACAAUAGCAGACUAGCAACUGCAGACUAGCAACAGCAGACUACAACCGCAGACAAGCAACAGCAGACUAGAAGCACAACAGCAGACUAGCAACAGCAGACUAGAAGCACAACAGCAGACUAGCAACAGCAGACUAGCAACAGCAGACUAGAAGCAGCAGACUAGCAACACAAUAGCAGACUAGCAACAGCAGACUAGAAGCACAACAGCAGACUAGCAACAGCAGACUAGAAGCACAACAGCCGACUAGCAACAGCAGACUAGCAACAGCAGACAAGCAAUAGCAGACUAGAAGCACAACAGCAGACUAGCAACAGCAGACUAGAGGCACAACAGCAGACUAGCAACAGCAGACUAGCAACAGCAGACUAGCAACAACCGACUAGCAACAGCAGACUAGGAGCACAACAGCAGACUAGCAACAGCAGACUAGAAGCACAACAGCAGACUAGCAACAGCAGACUAGAAGCACAAUAGCAGACUAGCAACAGCAGACUAGCAACAGCAGACUAGGAGCACAACAGCAGACCAGCAUCCCACAAGUACAUUUACAUUUAGUCAUUUAGCAGACGCUUUUGUCCAAAGCGACGUACAAGGGGGGUGUAGUACAGGUGCAUGAGAGUAAGGCCCUCUGCC
ensembl:lncRNA